ACGAUCUGUAGCUGGUCUGAGAGGACGACCAGCCACACUGGAACUGAGACACGGUCCAGACUCCUACGGGAGGCAGCAGUGGGGAAUUUUGGACAAUGGGCGAAAGCCUGAUCCAGCAAUGCCGCGUGCAGGAUGAAGGCCUUAGGGUUGUAAACUGCUUUUGUACGGAACGAAACGGCUCCUCUUAAUACGGGGGGCUAAUGACGGUACCGUAAGAAUAAGCACCGGCUAACUACGUGCCAGCAGCCGCGGUAAUACGUAGGGUGCGAGCGUUAAUCGGAAUUACUGGGCGUAAAGCGUGCGCAGGCGGUUAUAUAAGACAGAUGUGAAAUCCCCGGGCUCAACCUGGGACCUGCAUUUGUGACUGUAUAGCUAGGGUACGGUAGAGGGGGAUGGAAUUCCGCGUGCAGCAGUGAAAUGCGUAGAUAUGCGGAGGAACACCGAUGGCGAGGGCAAUCCCCUGGACCUGUACUGACGCUCAUGCACGAAAGCGUGGGGAGCAAAAAGGACUAGAUCCCCUGGUAGUCCACGCCCUAAACCUUUAAAAGUGGUUGUUGGGUCUUCACUGACUCAGUAACGAAGUAAACGCGUGAAGUUGACCGCCUGGGGAGUACGGCCGCAAGGUUGAAACUCAAAGGAAAUGACGGGGACCCGCACAAGCGGUGGAUGAUGUGGUUUAAUUCGAUGCAACGCGAAAAACCUUACCCACCUCUGACAUGUACGGAACUCGCCAGAGAUGGCUUGGUGCUCGAAAGAGGGCCGUAACACAGGUGCUGCAUGGCUGUCGUCAGCUCGUGUCGUGAGAUGUUGGGUUAAGUCCCGCAACGAGCGCAACCCUCGUCAUUAGUUGCUACAUUCAGUUGGGCACUCUAAUGAGACUGCCGGUGACAAGCCGGAGGAAGGUGGGGAUGACGUCAAGUCCUCAUGGCCCUUAUAGGUGGGGCUACACACGUCAUACAAUGGCUGGUACAAAGGGUUGCCAACCCGCGAGGGGGAGCUAAUCCCACAAAGCCAGUCGUAGUCCGGAUCGUAGUCUGCAACUCGACUACGUGAAGUCGGAAUCGCUAGUAAUCGUGGAUCAGAAUGUCACGGUGAAAAAGUUCCCGGGUCUUGUACUCACCGCCC
rnacentral:rRNA from 1 species